rnacentral:sRNA from 1 species
UUUUAGCCCCGAUAGCAGUGAAAAUCCUUUUGUGACGGGGUUCGGCACAAAAGAUUAUAACGAAUAGCGGGAUUAGCU